rnacentral:rRNA from 1 species
AUUGAACGCUGGCGGCAGGCCUAACACAUGCAAGUCGAGCGGAUGACGGGAGCUUGCUUCUUGAUUCAGCGGCGGACGGGUGAGUAAUGCCUAGGAAUCUGCCUGGCAGUGGGGGCCAACGUUUCGCAAGGAAAGCUAAUACCGCAUAGGUCCUACGGGAGACAGCAGAGGACCUUCGGGCCUUGCGCUAUCCGAUGAGCCUAGGUCGGAUUAGCUAGUUGGUGAGGUAAUGGCUCACCAAGGCGACGAUCCGUAACUGGUCUGAGAGGAUGGUCAGUCACACUGGAACUGAGACACGGUCCAGACUCCUACGGGAGGCAGCAGUGGGGAAUAUUGGACAAUGGGCGAAAGCCUGAUCCAGCCAUGCCGCGUGUGUGAAGAAGGUCUUCGGAUUGUAAAGCACUUUAAUUUGGGAGGAAGGGCAGUAAGUUAAUACCUUGCUGUUUUGACGUUACCGACAGAAUAAGCACCGGCUAACUCUGUGCCAGCCGCCGCCGUAAGAC